UUGAAUCAGCCUUCAGGUAGGAACAGAAGGGGAACUCCUCAGCUGUUGUUGAAUUUCACUUUGAACAGGUGGACUGUUUUGAACUUCUGGGUUAAUAGCUGAGACGUUCCUCGCACCACAGUUAUACAACGGACCAAUCAGAAGGGUUGGAGUUUACCUGAUGUGAGAGCCCGCUCUGCAGCACACUGUUCCUGGCUAUCUCGCACAGAUCGCAGGUGCUCAGCUUCCAAAGCUGGGCUGCGAUGGCGUACUCCUCCAUCAAGGCCUCCUGAAAGACAUGCACAUCCAGAGAGUCCACGGUGAGAUCAUAGGGGUCCAUGUGAAGGUUGUUGAAGACUUCCUUCAGGGUGACCUUCUGACCGGCCUUCUCCAAGAUCACGCGAUCUGCUUCCGUCUGACUCCUCAGAUUGCUGCUCUGCCAGCUCUUUCUUCAGCGCCCGCUCUCGGUCCUCAUGCAGUCCGAUGGGACAGUCCUCAGGCACAGUGAAGAGUGCCAUAGCAUCCUUGUUGUCCUCCUCUUUCAGGGCAGAGGCAUACACCUUCUCUGCCAUGAGACGGACCUUCUCGUCCACAUCGUUCAUGGACAUUCUUGGGAAAAGCCGAGGCAUUUCUGAGGGAGUUGAGAAAGAUUUGGAGUGAAUGCUCUUCUCUUUGACCUCACGUGGUUCAGUUUGACAAAGUAUCUCUAAAGGAAGUGUGUAUUCGACUUUAUAAUUUACAUCACAAUUUACAUUACAGGCAGAGACCUUCGUUUACACACUUAAAGAAGAACAUUAUGUUAGUGAUGGCACUUUAUACAAACACCAGCAGAAUAAACACUAGACCUCGAACCAAAAAUACAUUUUCAAGGGGUCGACUGGGUUAUGAGACGCAUUUGUUUUCAACACCUCAUCAUAACUCUCACAAGUAAACAUGUCUUGAGUGACUGAGUCGUGUUACAGUGCUGGUUGCGUGUUCCACCGAGACAAGUUACAGUAAACACAGUUAAACACUGUCCCUGAUAUCCUGGACUGACCGUGUCAACUGUAAGAGUCACCUUUUCUGGAAUCUCUGGAAUGGCAUGCAACACAUAAAGACAGAAAACAUCAAAGAUCUUAUUCCCAAUGUCUGAAAUUUGCCUGCUGGUGCCUCCCUGAUAUUUUUGUUUGUUUGUUGUGAAACACUGUGCAACAACUUUAAAGUCAAACUUGUUG